UUAGCCACUUCCAAAUUUUAUUUUUACAUUUUUAUUCAGUUUAUUUAGUUCUUUUCAUUCCGUUCUUUGCUGGAUCUGCAAGUCCGAUCGGGUUCGCUUUGACUUCUUCCGAGACGUGCCGAAGAAGAAGUUGUAGGGUCGUCGUAUCUCCGAGAAGGAUUGCCGGGUGACCCGUACGUGGGGGCAAAUACUUCUUUGGGACAGCGUCUACGCGCUUCGACCUGCCUUCAAUCAGGCUACUUUCUUCUACUUUUAUUUUUAAUUUAAUAUUAGUAGAUUUGUAGGAUUUGAAUUUCUAUAAUAUAAAUUUAUUAAAUGCAUAGAUUUAUUUUGUGCUAGAAUAGAUUUAUUUUGCAUUAAAAUAGAAUUAUUUGGAUGCCGAAUAAUAUGCAUGUAUAUUAUUCCCUUUAAGAUUUUCCAUUAAUUGAAUUAAUAGAUUUAUUGUUUAUUUAUAUGAUAUAUUGCUAACAAUCCAAAGAAGUAUUUGUUUUAUUUUUUGUUAGUAAUAUAUAAAAUUCUUUAUUAUAAUUGUGGCAUAUUAGAUUUUAAUUGCAAUAAUUGUUUUUGCUAGCACAUCAUUAAUAAUAAAUUAUUCUAAAGAGGUAAUAAUUUGGUUAACCUCCAAGAGGUUUAU
rnacentral:lncRNA from 1 species